GAUGUUUUCAAAGAACUAGCUUUUGGUUUCAUUGUUUGCUCUACUAUUUUCUAUUCUCUAUUUCAUUAAGUCCUGCUCCAAUCUUUUUUGUUGCCUUCCUUGCUUCAGGUUUAGUUUGCUCUUCUUUUUCAAGUGUCUUAAGGUGAAAGGUUUAGUUUAUUGUUUUGAGAUCUUUCUUCUUUUGUAAUGUACACAUUUGCACCUAUAAAUUUUCCUCGAAGCACUACUUUAGCUGCAUCACAUGAGUUUUGAUAUUUUGUAUCUUCAUUCUCAUUCAUCUAAAAGUAUUUCCUAAUUUUUCUUUUGAUUACUUUUUUGACACAUUGGUUAGGUAGGAGUGUGUUAUUUAAUUUCUACCUAUUUGUGAGUUUCUCAAAUUUCUUUCUGUUGUUGAUUUCUAAUUUCAUUUCAUUGUGGUCAGAAGACAUACUUUGUAUUACUUCUAUCCUGUUAAAUUUAUCGAGGUUUGUUUUAUGGCCUAGCAUAUGCCUAUCCUGGAGGAUGCACUUGAGAAGAAUGUAUAUUCUGCUGUUAUUGAGGAGGUACGAGAGCAAAACGUUGGACUCCCUGACCUCAACAGUUGGGCCUCGAGCUGGAACUGAGCACUAAGGGGAAGCAGCACCGCCCUGUGGCCAGCGUAGAGGCUGCAGCAGAAACGAGCCCAGAGUCCCAGGAAGAAGAUAAACCUGGAGGAGCUGAGACCCGGAGGUCCGAUGCGCCUUCUCCACAGGGACAGUGUCUCUCCACUUCAAAAUUUGAAAGCAUUAGGUAUUCCUGUGCCCAGACCUGUCUUUUGUAGCUGUGGCCCCAGGGAUCUGGCCACAACAAAUAGAAACCAGAAGACAAUCUCCAGGAAGAGGCAAGGAUGAUUCAGCAUUAAUCUCCUAAUGUAGAUCUCCACUGGAAGAGAUUAGAGAAAAGCCAUUUGAUAAUAAUCCUGUGAAUGCAGAAAAGGCAUUUGAUGAACUCAAAUACUCACUCGAUAUUUAUCUACCUAUCUUAUUAUACUAGAAAUAGAGGGGAAUCUGCCUAAUCUAAUGAAGAAUACCAACCAAAAACCUCUAGCACACACCACAUGUAACAGAAAGUAACUUUCUCUUUAGAGAGAAAAAGACAAGAACAACCAGUAAGUAUCAACACUUCCACUGGGUUUUGUACUGCAGGUCCUUGCCAGCACAGUAAAACAGGAAAAGAGAAAAAAAAGGUACAAGGGCUGGAAAAAGAAAAACAGAAUUAUCAUUAUUCUCAGUCAAUACGAUUAUCUUCAUAGAAGAUCCUAAAGGAUCCAGAACUGCGCUGUCCCAUAUGGUAGGCACCGGCCACAUGUGGCUAUUGGGCACUUGAAGUGUGGCCAGUCUGAAUUGAGAUGCACUGUGGUAUAAAAUACAUGCUGGAUUUGAAGAUAUGUAUAAAAAAUUAAAAGGUUAUUUCCUGUAUUAAAUAUCAGUGUGAAUUAUUGCCAGAAAUGGACGUGUCAGCUAGACCAUAAUCAAUGAAACUGCAUGGGCCUCUCCAACCCCACAUUUACAAUCAGGGACAAGUCCAUGCUUUCACUUCAGACGUCUUGGAAACUCCAUGAAUCUGUGGAGGCUGAAAACAAAAGUUGACCUUCCUCGUGGUUCUUUAACCAGUGAAAGCUGCCCAAGACCCUUCCAGAGUGGAGCAAAGUCCAGAAGAUGAAUGCCUCCUACCACCUAGGAGCAGGGAAACACUCUCUCCCGAGUUACAACCUGGAAAGAGCUCAAAGUGUUCGGAGCGGCUCCUUUCCUGGCCCUUCCCUCAGCUGCUGGCUAAGUUGGAGUGGUGUAGCUGUGACCACAGGGUCGGAACUUUGUAUCUUCCCGGGUCUCUAACUUCCCAUUACAGUGAAAUAGAGCAAGAAUGCCAGAGUACUGAAACGAAUGAAUGUGUGGGUGAAUCUCACAAGCAUGCUAAGAAGCGAGCCACAGGGGCUGGCCCCGUGGCCGAGUGGUUAAGUUCGCGCGCUCACCUGCAGGCGGCCCAGUGUUUCGUUAGUUCG